rnacentral:rRNA from 1 species
CCUACGGGAGGCAGCAGUGGGGAAUAUUGCACAAUGGGGGAAACCCUGAUGCAGCGACGCCGCGUGAGUGAAGAAGUAUUUCGGUAUGUAAAGCUCUAUCAGCAGGGAAGAAAAUGACGGUACCUGAGUAAGAAGCCCCGGCUAACUACGUGCCAGCAGCCGCGGUAAUACGUAGGGGGCAAGCGUUAUCCGGAUUUACUGGGUGUAAAGGGAGCGUAGACGGCAGCACAAGUCUGGAGUGAAAUGCCGGGGCUUAACCCCGGAACUGCUUUGGAAACUGUGCAGCUAGAGUGCAGGAGCGGUAAGUGGAAGUCCUAGUGUAGCGGUGAAAUGCGUAGAUAUUAGGAGGAACACCAGUGGCGAAGGCGGCUUACUGGACUGUAACUGACGUUGAGGCUCGAAAGCGUGGGGAGCAAACAGGAUUAGAUACCCCUGUAGUC